rnacentral:rRNA from 1 species
AUUGAACGCUGGCGGCAGGCCUAACACAUGCAAGUCGAGCGGCAGCGGGAAAGUAGCUUGCUACUUUUGCCGGCGAGCGGCGGACGGGUGAGUAAUGCCUGGGAAAUUGCCCAGUCGAGGGGGAUAACAGUUGGAAACGACUGCUAAUACCGCAUACGCCCUACGGGGGAAAGCAGGGGACCUUCGGGCCUUGCGCGAUUGGAUAUGCCCAGGUGGGAUUAGCUAGUUGGUGAGGUAAUGGCUCACCAAGGCGACGAUCCCUAGCUGGUCUGAGAGGAUGAUCACCCACACUGGAACUGAGACACGGUCCAGACUCCUACGGGAGGCAGCAGUGGGGAAUAUUGCACAAUGGGGGAAACCCUGAUGCAGCCAUGCCGCGUGUGUGAAGAAGGCCUUCGGGUUGUAAAGCACUUUCAGCGAGGAGGAAAGGUUGUUGGCUAAUAUCCAACAGCUGUGACGUUACUCGCAGAAGAAGCACCGGCUAACUCCGUGCCAGCAGCCGCCGCCGUAA